rnacentral:rRNA from 1 species
AUUGAACGCUGGCGGCAGGCCUAACACAUGCAAGUCGAGCGGAUGAAGGGAGCUUGCUCCUGGAUUCAGCUGCGGACGGGUGAGUAAUGCCUAGGAAUCUGCCUGGUAGUGGGGGAUAACGUCCGGACACGGGCGCUAAUACCGCAUACGUCCUGAGGGAGAAAGUGGGGGAUCUUCGGACCUCACGCUAUCUGAUGAGCCUAGGUCGGAUUAGCUAGUUGGUGGGGUAAAGGCCUACCAAGGCGACGAUCCGUAACUGGUCUGAGAGGAUGAUCAGUCACACUGGAACUGAGACACGGUCCAGACUCCUACGGGAGGCAGCAGUGGGGAAUAUUGGACAAUGGGCGAAAGCCUGAUCCAGCCAUGCCGCGUGUGUGAAGAAGGUCUUCGGAUUGUAAAGCACUUUAAGUUGGGAGGAAGGGCAGUAAGUUAAUACCUUGCUGUUUUGACGUUACCAACAGAAUAAGCACCGGCUAACUUCGUG